rnacentral:sRNA from 1 species
UGGUACACCGGCAUGCUCUUCCCAGCUGCCUUCAUUGGAUUGUUUGUCUUUUUGUAUGGCAUCACCACUCUGGAUCACAGCCAAGUCAGUAAAGAAGUCUGCCAAGCUACAGAUAUCAUCAUGUGUCCUGUGUGUGAUAAAUACUGUCCAUUCAUGAGGCUGUCAGACAGCUGUGUAUAUGCCAAGGUAACCCACCUUUUUGACAAUGGAGCCACUGUCUUCUUUGCUGUUUUCAUGGCAGUCUGGGAUCUGCGUGGUGAUUGCUGCCGUGUUCGGGAUCGUCAUUUACCGUGUGGUGACUGUCAGCACUUUCGCUGCCUUUAAAUGGGCGUUAAUCAGGAAUAACUCUCAGGUUGCAACCACAGGGACUGCUGUGUGCAUCAACUUUUGUAUCAUUAUGU